UACGAAGGGGGCUAGCGUUGCUCGGAAUUACUGGGCGUAAAGCGCGCGUAGGCGGCUUUGUAAGUUAGAGGUGAAAGCCCGGGGCUCAACCCCCGGAACUGCCUUUAAGACUGCAUCGCUUGAAUCCGGGAGAGGUGAGUGGAAUUCCGAGUGUAGAGGUGAAAUUCGUAGAUAUUCGGAAGAACACCAGUGGCGAAGGCGGCUCACUGGACCGGUAUUGACGCUGAUGUGCGAAAGCGUGGGGAGCAAACAGG
rnacentral:rRNA from 1 species